UGCUUCCAUCUGGAAGAAUCUGGAGACAGGUGCUGCAUGGCUGUCGUCAGCUCGUGUCGUGAGAUGUUGGGUUAAGUCCCGCAACGAGCGCAACCCUUGCCUUUAGUUGCCAGCAGUUCGGCUGGGCACUCUAAAGGGACUGCCGGUGUUAAACCGGAGGAAGGUGGGGAUGACGUCAAGUCCUCAUGGCCUUUAUGACCAGGGCUACACACGUACUACAAUGGCCGAUACAAAGGGCAGCGACACUGCGAGGUGAAGCCAAUCCCGUAAAAUCGGUCUCAGUCCGGAUUGGAGUCUGCAACUCGACUCCAUGAAGUUGGAAUCGCUAGUAAUCGUGGAUCAGACAUGCCGACGGUAGAAUACGUUCCCCGGGCCUU
rnacentral:rRNA from 1 species